rnacentral:rRNA from 1 species
GCNCCUAACGCUGUGNGAUCNUNCCUCUAANACAUGCAAGUCGAACGAUGAAGCCCUUCGGGGUGGAUUAGUGGCGAACGGGUGAGUAACACGUGGGCAAUCUGCCCUUCACUCUGGGACAAGCCCUGGAAACGGGGUCUAAUACCGGAUAANACUCCUGCCUGCAUGGGCGGGGGUUGAAAGCUCCGGCGGUGAAGGAUGAGCCCGCGGCCUAUCAGCUUGUUGGUGGGGUAAUGGCCCACCAAGGCGACGACGGGUAGCCGGCCUGAGAGGGCGACCGGCCACACUGGGACUGAGACACGGCCCAGACUCCUACGGGAGGCAGCAGUGGGGAAUAUUGCACAAUGGGCGAAAGCCUGAUGCAGCGACGCCGCGUGAGGGAUGACGGCCUUCGGGUUGUAAACCUCUUUCAGCAGGGAAGAAGCGAAAGUGACGGUACCUGCAGAAGAAGCGCCGGCUAACUACGUGCCAGCAGCCGCGGUAAUACGUAGGGCGCAAGCGUUGUCCGGAAUUAUUGGGCGUAAAGAGCUCGUAGGCGGCUUGUCACGUCGGAUGUGAAAGCCCGAGGCUUAACCUCGGGUCUGCAUUCGAUACGGGCUAGCUAGAGUGUGGUAGGGGAGAUCGGAAUUCCUGGUGUAGCGGUGAAAUGCGCAGAUAUCAGGAGGAACACCGGUGGCGAAGGCGGAUCUCUGGGCCAUUACUGACGCUGAGGAGCGAAGCGUGGGGAGCGAACAGGAUUAGAUACCCUGGUAGUCCACGCCGUAAACGUUGGGAACUAGGUGUNGCCGACAUUCCACGUCGUCGGUGCCGCANCUAACGCAUNAAUUNCCCGCCUGGGNGUNCGGCCCANGGUAAACUCAAAGNAUUGNNGGGGCCCCACAACGGGGGACAUUGGCUUAUUCACCCACGNANAACNUACAGGUUGANUNNCCGAANCNNAAAAANNGCCCCNUG